rnacentral:lncRNA from 1 species
UUGAAGCAAACAUCCCGCAUCGCUAUUGGACCUCUGAGACUUUCUACUUUAACAGUUUCACAGUCUUUGCCAGUUCUAAGUACCUUGCAGCUGUAUUGCUCGUCUGCUUUGGAGACCACAGUUUCUAACAGACUUUCAACAGAGGACUGUCUUAUUCCACUCUUCGGCGAAGCUUUACGUUCAUGUAAACAGCAUGACGUGAGGCCGUGGAUGCAGGCAUUAAGGUAUACUGUGUACCAGAAUCAGUUGUUGGAGAAAAUUAAAGUAUGAUCUCGUGAAAUCUUGAGAGAAACUGAAUGACGAAUGAAACUAUUGUUCCUGUUUCACACAGAAGAAAACUGAGGUUGGCACUCAUCAUGAGCCCCUGUUCUCAUUCUGCAAAUGGUGAAGCUCUCUAUUGUCCUGACCCCACAGUUCCUGUCCCAUGACCAGGGCCAGCUCACCAAGGAGCUGCAGCAGCAUGUAAAGUCAGUGACAUGCCCAUGCGAGUACCUGAGGAAGGUUAUCAAUACUCUGGCUGACCAUCAUCAUCGUGGGACUGACUUUGGUGGAAGUCCUUGGUUACAUGUCAUUAUUGCGUU